CCUUCCGUGGCGUAGGCGUAACGCACCCUAUCUAAAGAACAGGGAGUCGUAAGUUCGAUUCUCACCGAGAAGA
rfam:Aedes aegypti strain Liverpool supercont1.199 genomic scaffold, whole genome shotgun sequence.